GUGCUUGCUCACUUCAGCAGCUCAUAUACUAAACCUAGAACAAUACAGAAAAUAUUAACAUGGCCCCUGUGCAAGGAUGACGCACAAAUUCACAAAGUGUUUCAUAAAGAA
ensembl:snRNA U6 U6 spliceosomal RNA